GGCGAGUGAAGCGGCAAUAGCUCAAAUUUGAAAUCUGGCUCUUUCAGAGUCCGAGUUGUAAUUUGUAGAAGAUGCUUCGGCUUACGUAUCGGUCUAAGUUCCUUGGAACAGGACGUCACAGAGGGUGAGAAUCCCGUUUGUGGCCGGUACUUCCGCUAUGUGAAGCUCCUUCGACGAGUCGAGUUGUUUGGGAAUGCAGCUCUAAAUGGGAGGUAAAUUUCUUCUAAAGCUAAAUAUUGGCCAGAGACCGAUAGCGCACAAGUAGAGUGAUCGAAAGAUGAAAAGCACUUUGGAAAGAGAGUUAAAAAGUACGUGAAAUUGUUGAAAGGGAAGCGCUUGCGACCAGACUUGCCUUUAGUUGCUCCGCCGGUCCUUCGACCGGUGUAUUCUUCUAUUGUCAGGCCAGCAUCAGUUUGGGUGGUUGGAUAAAGGCAUUGGGAAUGUGACUCUCUUCGGGGAGUGUUAUAGCCCUUUGUGCAAUACAGCCUACCUAGACUGAGGACCGCGCUUCGGCUAGGAUGCUGGCGUAAUGGUCGUAAGCGGCCCGUCUUGAAACACGGACCAAGGAGUCUAACAUCUAUGCGAGUGUUUGGGUGUCAAACCCGUGCGCGAAAUGAAAGUGAACGGAGGUGGGAACCUUUGGGUGCACCAUCGACCGAUCCUGAUGUCUUCGGAUGGAUUUGAGUAAGAGCAUAGCUGUUGGGACCCGAAAGAUGGUGAACUAUGCCUGAAUAGGGUGAAGCCAGAGGAAACUCUGGUGGAGGCUCGCAGCGGUUCUGACGUGCAAAUCGAUCGUCAAAUUUGGGUAUAGGGGCGAAAGACUAAUCGAACCAUUAAAAAACAAAAACAGUUGCUAGGUGGUUAAGAGGCGGCUAAAAGUGACCGUCUAGU
rnacentral:rRNA from 1 species